UACGUAGGGUGCGAGCGUUGUCCGGAAUUAUUGGGCGUAAAGAGCUCGUAGGCGGUCUGUCGCGUCGAUCGUGAAAACUUGGGGCUUAACCCUGAGCUUGCGGCCGAUACGGGCAUGACUGGAGUUCGGCAGGGGAGACUGGAAUUCCUGGUGUAGCGGUGAAAUGCGCAGAUAUCAGGAGGAACACCGGUGGCGAAGGCGGAUCUCUGGGCCUUACCUGACGCUCAGGUGCGAAAGCUAGGGGAGCGAACAGG
rnacentral:rRNA from 1 species